ACUCUCCCAAGUUCUUAGUACAGUGCUCUGCACACAAGAUCAGAACCCUGGUUCCAGCCCCUCUUCACCCCCUUCUCCCCAACCACAAGCGCUCUGAAGACCAGUGGGGGGUCUGACAACGGAUCCUCACUUCUGGGAAGCCAGGAUAGUGGAUCCCAGUGGGCAUCACCGAGGAGGAGCGGACUCUGAUGGUGGCGACCACUGACUGGCAAACGAGAACAGAUUGACAUUCCAGCAACCAAUGGAAGGCCAUGGAGGAUUCACGCGGGGAAACGUGGUUCGCUCCCGAAGACACGGUCUCCGCCGCCGCUCUCUCCAGCGGAG